rnacentral:rRNA from 1 species
CAGGCCUAACACAUGCAAGUCGGACGGUAGCACAGAGGAGCUUGCUCCUCGGGUGACGAGUGGCGGACGGGUGAGUAAUGUCUGGGGAUCUGCCCGAUAGAGGGGGAUAACCACUGGAAACGGUGGCUAAUACCGCAUAACGUCGCAAGACCAAAGAGGGGGACCUUCGGGCCUCUCACUAUCGGAUGAACCCAGAUGGGAUUAGCUAGUAGGCGGGGUAACGGCCCACCUAGGCGACGAUCCCUAGCUGGUCUGAGAGGAUGACCAGCCACACUGGAACUGAGACACGGUCCAGACUCCUACGGGAGGCAGCAGUGGGGAAUAUUGCACAAUGGGCGCAAGCCUAAUGCAGCCAUGCCGCGUGUAUGAAGAAGGCCUUCGGGUUGUAAAGUACUUUCAGCGGGGAGGAAGGCAGUGAGGUUAAUAACCUUACUGAUUGACGUUACCCGCAGAAGAAGCACCGGCUAACUCCGUGCCAGCAGCCGCGGUAAU